rnacentral:ncRNA from 1 species
AGCCCUCCGGCAAUGGGGUCGGAGGAAGAACCAAUAGGGGCUGGUGUA